UACGUAGGGUGCAAGCGUUUAAUCGGAAUUACUGGGCGUAAAGCGUGCGCAGGCGGUUAUGCAAGACAGAUGUGAAAUCCCCGGGCUUAACCUGGGAACCGCAUUUGUGACUGCAUAGCUGGAGUACGGCAGAGGGGGAUGGAAUUCCGCGUGUAGCAGUGAAAUGCGUAGAUAUGCGGAGGAACACCGAUGGCGAAGGCCAGUCCCCUGGGCCUGUACUGACGCUCAUGCACGAAAGCGUGGGGAGCAAACAGG
rnacentral:rRNA from 1 species